rnacentral:lncRNA from 1 species
AAAAAAUACGCCUAAGACUCUAGGACCGAAGAGAUCACUAUCCGCCGUUUCAUCAAAAACAACCCCCCCGAUUCCUGAUCUCCUUCAAGAAAAAAGAAGAAGCAAACAGAAACAAGCCUAGGAGACCUAAGAUAGAGACAGAAUCCAUCGUUGUUGACCAUAAUACACGGACCCCUCCCAUGUCAUUCAUCUUCUUCAGCAGCCAUUAACAAGAGAGAAGCCAACCAUCUUCUCCACACCCAUCACCUAUACACACACCAGCCACCUCCGCCAGCCACUCUACUCACCGGAAAAAGACCAGCUCCUAGCCGUCACCGACCACCCCAAGACCAUCGUCCCUCUCCACACAUAAAUGCCCAGCAGCAGACGCCCAUCUCUACUCCUUCUUCCUCCACGAAAAUCAGUUCAAAGGUCCCCUAGACCCAGCCAAAAUAACCUCCAAAGCCCAGACGAAAAUCAGUACCAAGCAGUCCCAAAAACCACUAUCAAAACCCGGUUGAGGUUCGAGUUCCGUGCAGAGGUCGUCGGAUUAUCCUGAUAUUGUUUCCCAUUGUACUGAUGGACCGUAUGCGAUUGUGUUCGAUUCGAAGAAGGAGCUUCAUCAUUAUCUCUGUGAUCAUUCUUUUCUGAUUGAUGUUGAAACUAAGGUAAUUUAUUGCCUAUAUGAUGGAUUAUCUGAUAUGUAUUUGUUUUUUUUUUGGUUUAUGAUAGUGUUAUCUACUAUGUUUCUUUAUUUUGAUUUUGUUGGAAAUGAUAUUUCUAAUCUCGAGUUUUGUUCCUUGUUUGAGAAGUCGAAACAUGUGAAUUUCUUUGUAUGGAAUAUUCCCGAUGAAGUGUAGCAGUGUGCUAUUGCUUUCUUUCAUAAGAAUCAUGUAAACAAGAAUUUUAGUGCUAGAGUAUUUAUUUUGUUUAGGGGUUUGAUUUUAUUAUAAUUUUUGUUAAUUCAAUGUAUGCCAAUAACUAGAACUUCUAGUUCGUUUACCUUUUCAAUUCCUCGGGAUUGCUCUAAAUUUUUUCAUUAAUUUGCUUCUUUUUUUGUUCUGUUAUUUGACAUGAAGAUACAUUAGAAAGAUGUGAUUUUGUUUGCGUGAUAUGAUUACGGUAUCUAAAAUAAAUAUUCGUAGAAAAGCCUUUAGGCGCGUUUAAAAUGCAAUUGUGAUGGUGUACACGUUCGCGUGAUAUAAUCACGAUUCUAAAACCAAAUCGGAGUAUGCGUUCGCGCAACUUUGACCAAACUUUCUUAAUAAUGAAAGUGUUAUUAAUAGACCAUUAAUUUAAUUUAGUUCAUAUAGUUCGAGGCGUGCCAUCCACAAUUUAAUAAUUCAUGGCCCUCGUAUUAAUCUUAUGACUUAGAUAUAAAAAUGACAAGUGUUCGUAGUUGCUUUAGGCCCGUUUAAUGUAUCGUUGUGAUUGUGGACACGUUCGCGUGACAUGUUACGAUUUCUAAAAAAACAAAACCAGAGUAUGCAUUUGCACAACUUCGGCCAAAUUUUCCUAAUAUUAAUAAAGCGUUAUUAAUUGUGGACAUGUUUGCGUGACAUAAUUUUUGACGCACCAAACAAAUGGGUACAUGUGUGCGUGACCUGUUUAAAGAUAAUUUCUUAAUUAAAAGGAGGGGAUGCACAUAGGUUCUAAAAUGAUUAGUUAAACAACUUAAUAAGCCAAAUAUGAUCAAAGCAACCGUGCUAAAACCACGAAACCCAGGAAUGCCUAACACCUUCUCCCGGGUUAACAGAAUUUCUUACCUGGAUUUCUGUAUUUGUAGAACGUAAAUAAGAAUUAAUUUCCUCGAUUCGGGAUUUUAAACCGGUGACUUGGGACACCAUAAGUUAUCCCAAGUGGCGACUCUGAAUUUUAAAUAAAAUAAUCAUGUUUCGAUUGUCACUUAAAUUGGAAAAAACUCCCUUACUCCCUCUCGGGGGUAGGAAAAAGGAGGUGUGAUAGUGGACGAUUGGGAUUAUCUGGGAGAUGAGGGUUGAUAUGUGGGUGGUGGUUCUUGGUACGUGGGUGGAGGUAUUUGAUAUGUAGGUGGAGGUGUUUGAUAUGUAAGUGGAGAUUUUGGGACUUGAGCCACCAUUACUGCCCCAACAUCUCUCUUAUUUGAUAUACCGCCUGAUUGUAAUGCCUUGUUUGUGGCUUGUAAUGCCUCAAAGUUUGUUAUCAUCGCACUCUUGAUGCCUUCUUUGAUUCUUUCCCCAUGUUUGAUGAUAUCAGAGAAUUUAUGAUUUUCAAUAACCAUCAACCUUUCAUAAUAUUGUGGAUCAUGUGCUCUGACGAAGAACUUGUUCAUCUGUUCCUCAUCCAAAGAUGGUCUGACCUUGGCUGCUUCUGACCUCCAACGGGUGGCAUACUCGCGGAAAGUGUCGGUGGGAUUCUUCUUAAGGUUUUGAAUGUAGAAAACAUCUAGUGCAUUUUCUGUGUUGAACCUGAAUCGGUCCAUGAAAUCAGACGCCAUACUCACCCAGUUGGACCAUUUCUUAGGAUCCUGGCUGAUGUACUAGGACAAAGCAUCUCCCGUAAGACUUCUCAGAAAGAGUUUCAUUCGGAUCCUUUCAUCCUUUCCGACCCCAACAAGCUUGUCAUAAUAGGUCCUCAGAUGAACCCUAAGAUCACCUGUACCGUCAAACAUCUCGAACUUAGUAGGUUUGUAUCCCUCUGGAAGUUCUACAUCUGGCUGUAUGCAUAGGUCUUCAUAAUUCAAACCUUCUAUCCCUUUACCUCCUUCGACACCCUGAACUCUACUUGUCAACUUCUUGAGUUCCUCAGCCAUGUUCUUGAUGAGCAGGUCCUUCUCAGCGGAUUCUGGUGUAUAGGAAGUUAGUUGGAUAGAGUGAGGUAUGGUUUCCAUGUAUAUAAGGUUGUUUUAGUGAGUUCCAGAUGCCUGAGUGUAGUGGUGGUCAUUGGUUAAGUUUUGAGGAUCAGGAAUGGGUUGUGGUGUGUUUUGGGGAGUGUGAUAAAUGGCGGUUGGUGGGUAUUGGAUUGGUUGAUGGUGGUGUUAUGGUGGAGUUGGUAUCGGUAAGGGAUUGAGAUUUUGAGGUGGGGUUGCGUAUUGAUGCGGUGCAGGAGGGUUUUAUGGAUGUUGGUUUGGUGUGUUUUGGGGAGGUGCUGGGUUCUUUGUGUUUUGAUGGUUGAUGUCGUGGACAUUCAGGGUGAGGGAUAGGUUUGCCAAGUUGUGGACCUGCUCAAGAUCUCCCUGUAACUCUAGUAUCUUUUGUUACAACCUCAAGACUAGUCAUUUGGUGCCGGAGUACUCCGACCGUCUGAAGUUUCUGCAUUUUCCACAUUCUCCUUUCGAAUACCACUUAAGUCAUCCAUUUUAGCUUUCCCUUUGCUCUUUGUGUUGCUUGGAGGAGGAGGAGGUGGAGAACCUCUAGAUUUGGUGUGAUACGCCGAUGAUGCCAGUAUGAGCGAACCAACCUUAGGGUAUGGGAAUAAAGAAUAAUGAAAAACAAAAUGUAAACAAGUCAGUAAGGGUUCUGAAACGUUUGCAGUAUUUAAACACAUUUUGCAUGAAUGUAAAUUCGCAUCCUAAUUUGGGAACCUCGUUGUGCCCGAGGUAGGCCUAGAGACAAAUAAAUUUGGAGAAUUUUAGUGCCAAUAACUGCCUCAUUUCAUUAAUGUAAAAAUAAACGACCCAAAACAAAACUAAAUAAGAUAAUGUUGCUAGUGGCACUUGGCCUUAUUACAUUCAAAAGUAAAGCAAGUAAAUCUAAUCUACUUGGUCCCAGAAGGACCCUCUCCAGACCGGAUGCUGUUGUCGAUCAAAUCUCCUAGCUCGUGCAGGUUCAGCAGUAGGAAUGUCCUUGCCAGAUGCCCUUCUUCAUUUUUUCAGUGUUUUGACAAUCGGUGACCCUCUAUCUUAUCUUUCCCUCUAAUUUUAUCAAAUUGUACUCCAGAUAUUCCAACCUCUCCCUGGAUUUAACAGCUUUUUCUUUCCACUCGUUAAUCAUCUCUAUGUCAGCCUUAUGAUGCGCCAUAUGCUCGGCAUCAGACUCUCAAACUCUUUUCCGCAGCCUGUUGUACUUCACCUCUGCUUCGGUGAAUUCAUCUAUGAACCUGUUUCUUGGGCCAACUCUUGGCUCAAAGACUCCUAACAGAUUAUCAUCCAACCACGAGGGGUAAAAGAAUGAGUGGCCUACAUGGUAUCUGUCCGGCUCAAUAGUAUCAUUCUCCACAAUAAUCUUCAAAGUCCAAAUAUGUUGCGCUUCAUUAUUAUAUGGGAUGGCAUCACCAUGGAAAUCGGCUCUGAAGUGGCUCAUCUUAGCAACCCGUGGUAUGACUUGUCUCCUGCCUGCCUGUCUCGUAACUCUAAGUGGAGCAUAAAUAUAUAUCCCUCUUAACCCGAUCAACACCAAAUGCGGGACAUCUCUAGAUAUUAUGUUGAACUCGUCAGUGGGGAACCACUCGAACAUCCACUGAACCUGGUCUUCAGUCAUCUUGUUGAAAAACUGCACCCAUCCUACAACAUCCUUAGGUUGAUCGAACAUGUCCGGAAUGUAGGUCAUUCACUUAGGGUGAUGGAAGGUUAUGUGAUCAUUCCACGGUCUUCAUGGAAACUCUUGGCGAUAUUGGCCCCUUUGGAGAUGUUCUAACAUCCACACUUGUAACAGCAAGUUGCAGCCCUCAAAGAAUCCGAACCCCUUUUGACAGCGUUCUACGGCAUGGUAUAUGUCUGCAACGAUCAUAGGGAUAAUAGUAUAUGUCUGCCCCUCUAUCCCGUCCAUUAGAGUUUUGGCCACCAUAGACAACCUAGUAUGGAUUCUAUCCCCUUGGAUUGGGAAUACCAGCAUGCCCAAGAAGCACACAAUGAACACGAAGACCCUACGAUAGACCCAGCCCAAAGAAGUGGUUGAGAACUCAUCAUCAAAAAUACGGUAAGAGUUGUUGUGACCGUAUCUUUCAUGAAGGAAAUCAAAAGGUAUGUAGGAGUUUUUCAGGCACUCCAAAUCAUCAUUUUUCUUCAGCCCCAUCAUCUUAAGCAACCUUCAAGUGGUGCAAUUUUCAGGUGCUAGCAGGACAGGGCUAUCCCAAGGCAACCCAGCAAAUCCCCCUAUUUCUUCUAGAAGGGGAGUUAUUUCUAUGUCUCCAAAACGGAACACAACCCUUUCCUUAUCCCAAAAUAGAGUGGCAGCCUCGAUUAGCAUCUUGUUUGGUUGAAGAUCCAAUAGUGAUAGUAAAUUACUCAAGACUCUUUUCACAUGAUUUUGGUCACUUGAGGGAAGAUCUCUCCACCAAUCUAUCAAAAGUGGAGGAAUACUACCGACCAUACCGAAUCUAGGGACUUCGUGCCUCAUUUUCUACAAAACAAGAGAGAGUUAGGUCAUUUCCCCCUCUAGGUUCAUCUAUUUAUACAGUAAUGAUUAGCAAAUUGGCAUUUAUUUCUCCAAAUUAAUGCACACAAUCGUGGUUACGUCAGUUGGGAUUGUGGAAAACCCGAUGAACUUUUGAACGAGGCUUGUCUUAAAGGGUUAUUAUGCGGACAACAUAUUAACCCGACUAGGUUUGACCAUGAUGCAUGCACAACUAAUCAGAGUAAGGCUGCUAUAGAGGCCUAGACUGGGACCCUCAAGCGGAAAACUUGAGGGGGAAAGGCACGGAACCGUCGAACGCACCGCUGAUCGACUAGUUUUACCGUAAAUACGCCUUUCCGAAUUUAAAGGUUGAUAUAUAAGAAGAGCGCAAACACUCAUCAAGUGUUUCUAUAGGAUUGAUUAUGCACAAGUGGAAUAUGAUGUUGAGCAUGAUUUAUGCAGCAAUAAAUAGCAUGUUGUCAAGUAUUUGCACGUAAAAAAUGAUAAAUGCAGUAUUUAAAUAAUUAAAAGAUAGUUACAAAAAAAGAAAACAAAGAGACAAGUCGGUUUCAGGAAAAUAAAGAAAUCAUAAAUGCUUGAAAAUAGACAGUUAAAUUCAAAUAAGGGGAAAUGGUACGUGGGAUAGAUCAUGCUUGGACUAAUUCACAAAAAUAACUUCGUUAUAGUAAGAGCCUAAAAUAUCCCCAACAGAGUCGCCAUGCUGUCGCACCCCCUUUUUUCCCUUUACGGGGAAGUCCGGGUUUCGACAUUCAUGGGGGAACAACUCGUUUCCUUUUGGGAACUAGGUAUUUGAAGAGUCCCCACCUAACGGAUUAUGGUGCGUUACGAAACCUAGAGCGAUUAACUCUUGUAACUAGUUUGCAUUACCAGUGAUUAGGGUAAGGGCUCAAAAUAACCUUGAGGAGAAGGUGUUAGGCAUCCCUUGCUGUCCACAAUGGUGGGUCUCGGCCGAACUUAAACUAUAUGAAUUAAUCAAUCAACAAGUAAGCAAGUAUUUGCAAAUAAAGUAGCUUUCCCCAUCUAAAUGCAUAUAUAAUUAAGGAAGUUCAGAUAAUGAAGGUAAAGAGGUUUGGAAAGCUUACACAUGUAUAUGUAAAGAAAAGGAAGUUUAGAGAAUUUAAACACAUAAGGGAAUUGGGAAAGGGAAGUCCUAAUUUAAUUAGCCUACAGGAUCAUACCCAUGCAAUGCCCGGUAAUCACUCCUCAAUGAGAGGGGCUAUACGUGACAUUAGUGCGCAUGUCAUCAUAUCCUUUUACUACCCAUUACCCUCCCCUUAGCGGUUAUAUAAGCGAGUUUAAUUAAUGACCUCUAAGGGUGCUGCUACCCGUCCCUUCCUUAUGGUCCUGGAGGAAUUUAGGACCUCUAAAUCUGGACAGUUAUAGACAACCUAUGGUUUUUAAAGGUUAAAAAUCUAGGAAACAAGAAAACAACAUGUAGGACAAGCAAAUAGGGACAAACAGUUAGAAGGCUCAUAUUUACCUCUGCACGUAUAUAGGCGAACAAACAGCACGUCUAAAACACAGAUUGUAAAGAAGCUCAAAAAUCCUAAGAACAUGAUAUCUAGAUGAAUGUUACAGAUUCAGGAUAUGCAUAAAGAAAGUGGCAGAAUCCUAACAAGUUUGCCUACUGGUUUUACAGCUUGUUAAGCCUGGAUGAUUUCACAUAUAAACAGAACUGGUUUCAUAGUUACUUAACGUCCUAAGGCUUGCCUAAGUGUGUAUAUGCAGUCACAAUUCUGGGAAACAUUUUGAAGUUCUUCAUCCUAUAGGCAUGCUUUCUAGUGACAUUUAAGAAGUCACUGCAUGGUGUUCCCGUUUUAGCACUUAAUGCACACGGUAAUACCCUAUGGACAUGAGUUCUAUCUCUAAUGAAUGAAACUGUUAUUAGUUUUGUUAGACACGCAUACUAACUGAGAAAGUAUGACCACCAAUUAAACCUACAUGCAUGAUUUCUAAAGAGACGGAUUUGAAUAUAUGUUGUAAUGAAAGUUGAACCUUAGUUAUUUUAUUCCCUAUAGGCAUGACGUUUAAUCAUGUAAAGCAAAGCAGGAAGAACUUAAUUCACCCAAAGCAAACCCUAUAGGCAGGUUAUCUAACAAAACACAUUUGAACCAAAGUAAAUCUUAUAGGCAUGUUAUCUACCCAGCUUUACCCACAGUACCAUAUAACUACCCUCCCUUUUCACUAGUCACCCCAAUAUCUAUUUACAAUUAAUUAUUACAGACCAAUAAUUGAAUAAAAAUUCAUAAAUAGAAUAUAAAUUAAGCUAUAGGGAGACUGAAGUAGGCCCAAAGCAAAUCCUGGUGUACCAGGCCUCCAGUAGUCUCACAUGCCCAAGGUUUCAUUGCCAAUUUCAUGUCCAGGUGUGUCAGAGUUUCCUAAGGACCUCAAGGAUCCUGGGCAGUGCUCACACCCAGACUUUCUCAAAUAAGGACUGAUUAUGUGCAGUAUGGAAGAGCCAUCCCUGGUAUGCCAGAGUUCAGAGAGAUCUCAAGGAUCUCUAAGCAGUACACAUAUCAGGGGGGCAUGACUUAAUAAUCUAAGAGUAAGUGAGAGUGCAUAAUUUGAAAAGGGUUUUGGUAAACAACAUAGAGAGGACUCUUAGAGGUGAAAAGAUUUUCUGAAAACCAGUACUAAUUUGGUGGUAAAAUAUCUUGAGGAAAGUAUGAAAACACUUUGAAAUCAAAACACAAAUCACAGAACAACCAUAUUCAGAAACAUUUGGCAAGCAGGUUCCACACAUGGAGAGAGGGGUUGGGGACACAUAGAGCACACCUUAGUGUAUAAUGGAGCAUAGAAGUAAACAUAUGUACAGAAUUACUAAUUUAGUUACAAGGGUAGGUGAUUGAGACAUGGAGCAAAGAUGUUGAGAACACAUAAGCCUCAAACAAACAACUAUAGAGACUAGAUGACUUAGUAAAGUAGAGUAGGAAAUGACUUAAAUGAACAGACUAGGCAAAACACCACACAAGCAUUUAUAAUGUGGGCAUACUAAUCACACACUGAAUAAAACAAGAUUUUAGACAUGCUAGAUAAACAGUAGACAUGUAAGCAUAGUUGAGACAUGCUAAUCACAUAUUGAACAAGGAAGCAGUAGGCAUGCUAGAUAACAGUAGACAGGCAAGUAGAGUUGAGACAUGCUAAUCACAUAUUGAACCAGACAAUUUAGGCAUGCUGGAUAAACAGUAAACAUGAGCAGGAAUGAACUCAUAACUGAUGAACUAAGGCAGUAAUGAAACACAUAGGGUUUAGAUUCUAAAAUUUAAUCAGAGGCAUACCAGUUAAGGGAAAGAGAACACAAGAUGUAAGACAGGUGUUGUGCAGUUUCUAGCCUUGGUUUACAACCGACAAGACUAAUGAAUAUCACAAGUAACAGAAAAAAUAGAGAGCUUUUUAGAGUGUAAGAGUAACGGUGAACUAAUGUUCGUCUUAAACUGAGAAUAGAGAAGAGUAUAUAUAGCAGUUUAGGAGCGGAGCGGAAUAAGGUAAAAUAAAUCAAAACUCAGCAAUCAGGGAAAUUACAAGAUCAAUCACACACGCAAUCAGCGUAGUCUUCCUUUAAUUAAGGAUAAUUACUCAACGGUUAAAGGACAGGAGUCACUUAAGGAAAUAAAAUCAAAUCAAACCUAAGUAAAGAGGUAGAAAACAAGAGUUUAAUUAAGGAAAUAAUCGUGAUGAAUCAGUAACAUUACAGGCAAUAAGGUAAUAAGAAUAAUUAAAGUCGUAAAUAAGGGAAUGAAUCACGAAUCAACACAUAAUUUUUAACCAAGCAAAUCAGUAAAUCAAAAAUCCAAAAUAGUACUGAUUAAGGAGAGGAAAAAUAUCAGUUUCCACAAAUAGAUGAGUAGGCUAAAUAAAACUUCAUAAACAUACAUAAAUUAGCCAAGAGAUCGACUCAGAAACCCUAGUAGAGAUGAACUAGGGCAAAAGUCACAAGAUACUGAAUUAGACUAAGAAAAAUCAUGGAAGUCAAAGCACAAAUAUAAACAAUGUAACAAGUAACACGGCGAGACUCAGAAUCAAAGCAAAAUGUCGAAAAAGGUUGGGGUUUCAAUAUAAACUAGUGAGGGUUGAAGAAAACUCUACGAAAUUAGUCAAAAACACAUGAAAAUAGAAGAUUAAAUACUUAAAGUCAGUAAAACAUUUUAAAGAAAAACGGUUUUCAGGAAACCUUAGUUUAAGAAAAUGGAAAGCCACUCGUAAAACCAGAAGAUUUUCAUAAAAAACAAAGUGAAGUGAGUUCGAUUCAUCUCAGAUCUGGACAAAUCUGAGAAGAUCAAAGGAUAAAAAAUUAGGGUUUUUUUAGAAAGGCAACAGAGACGAGCUUAGACUUAGGAAACCGUGGAUUCAAGACGAAAAAUGAGAAAGAUCUUACUCAAGGUCAAGCCAAACAGCCUGAAACGUGCAAGAAAACCCCAAGGUGUAAACAGACCGCCUAGGUCCCUUGAGGAUCUCCUUAAGGAUCCAAAAAAUGGAGACACCAUAGCAAGCAGGAGGCCAUUAGAGGCCUGAGGUGGUAAAGAGCCCCCAUAAGAGGGCAGUAGAUGAGUGACGGUGCCUGAAGAUUAGGGUUUAGGUAGAGAGCAGUUGAGAGAGGAGGGAAUAGAUGACGGCGGGGAAGGGGUGGGAAAUGAUUAGGUUAGAAAGGGGUAUAUGGGUUUAAUUAAGGUAAGGGGAGAUCUGGACCGUUGAUCAAAAUGAUCAACGGCCAAGAUAGGCCGGGUAUUGGGUCGAGUAAGCUUAAAUUGGGUUAGGGUCAGAUGGGAUUUAGGCCUGGUUAGAUUUUGGGCUAAUGUGGGAUUAAAAAUUGUACUGUCUAAUUGGCUGGGUACAAAUGAAUGGGGCUAUUUGUUAAAUACAUAUUUAAUCGCUAAAAGAGUUUUUAAAAAUACUUAAUACAUUAUAAAAAUGAUUUCCAUGCCUGGAAAUGUUUUAAAAUAGUUACUUAAUAUUUUAAAAAUAUAAAAGGUUGUUUUCUGGUAAAAUAAUGUAAUAAUGCGUGCGUGGGCUAUAAUUGCAACCUAAAAAUACAAAAGUGGCUAUUUGUGCAAUAAUUGAAACUUAGUAUAAAUGUGAAUGAGAAAAUUAAGCCACAAAAAAUUAUUAUAAAACUAUUUGUGAUGCAAUCAAUGAUUGUUUUAUAAAUAAAAUGUUGGGAUAAAUUAAUAAAAAUAUUUUAAAAAUACAGAAAUUGUAUGAAAAAUACUACAAUUGAUGCCAAGGCAUAGUUUUAAAACUAUUAUGGGGAAAAAUUGGGUAUCAACAUCGGGUGGCUUGCUUCAGCGGUUAGAUAUCCCAGAGUAGAAGUGGAAGCGAAUCAUCAUAGAUUUUGUAGUCAGACUCCCACGGACUUUGAAGAAAUUCGAUGCUAUUUGGGUGAUUGUGGAUCGGCUGACCAAGUCCGCGCACUUCAUUCCUGUGUUCACUACCUAUUCUUCAGAGCGGUUAGCAGAUAUUUAUAUCCAGGAGAUUAUUCGCUUGCAUGGUGUCCCAGUUUCCAUCAUUUCAGAUAGAGGUACUCAGUUUACAUAGCAGUUUUGGAGAGCCGUGCAGUGAGAGUUGGGUACUCAGGUUGAGUUGAGCACAGUUUUUCACCCUCAGAAGGACGGGCAGUCCGAGCGUACUAUUCAGAUAUUGGAGGACAUAUUGCGCACUUGUGUCAUUGAUUUUGGGGGUUCAUGGGAUCAGUUUCUACCACUCGUAGAGUUCACUUAUAACAAUAGUUAUCUGUCGAGUAUUCAGAUGGCUCCAUAUGAGGCUUUAUAUGGGAGAUGGUUUAGAUAUCCAUUUGGUUGGUUUGAGCCGGGUGAGGCUAGGCUUUUGGGUACAGACAUGGUACAUGAUGCUUUGGACAAAGUGAAGGUGAUUCAGGAGCGGCUUCGUACAGCGCAGUCAAAACAAAAGAGUUAUGCGGAUAGGAAGGUUCGUGAUGUGUCUUACAUGGUUAGGGAGAAAGUUCUACUGAAGGUUUCACCCAUGAAGGGAGUUAUGAGAUUUGGGAAGAAGGGUAAAUUGAGUCCUCGGUUCAUUGGGCCUUUUGAGGUGCUUUAGAGGAUUAGGGAGGUGGCUUAUGAUCUUGCUUUACCACCUAGCUUGUCGAGUGUGCAUCCGGUAUUUCAUGUUUUUAUGCUCUGAAAGUAUAUUGGUGAUCCGUCUCAUGUUUUGGAUUUCAGCACGGUGCAGUUAAACGGUGAUUUGACCUAUGAUGUGGAGCCAGUGGCUAUUUUGGAGCAGCAGGUCCAAAAGUUGAGAUCAAAGGAUAUAGCUUCAUAAAGUGCAGUGGGGAGGUCGGCCCGUGGAGGAGGCUACCUGGGAGACUGAGCGAGAGAUGCGGAGCAGAUAUCCUUACUUGUUUGAGGCUUUAGGUAUGUUUCUUGACUCGUUAAAGGACGAACGUUUAUUUAAGAGGGGGAGGAUGUAACGACCCAGCCGGUCGUUUCAUGAGUUACCGCUCCAUUUUGCCCAUUUCUGCUUCUUUAUUUGUUGUUCAGCUAUAUUUCAUCGUAUCACAUUGGUUGGUUUGGGUUCAGAGUGGUUUUGUAGAGAAAUGAGACACUUAGUCUCUUUUUUAGGAAACUUUAGUUGGAAAAGUCAACCGAAAGUUGACUUGUGAGUAAAUGAUCUCGGAACUUGGUUUUUAUGAUUCAGAUAGCUUCGUGAGGUGAUUUGGGACUUAGGAGCAUGAUCGGAAUGUAUUUUAGAGGUCCGUGGUAGAUUUAGUCUUGAAUUAGCAAAAUUGGAGUUUUGGCGUUUUCCAGUUGGUAGUGAAAAUUUUGAUAUCGGGGUCGGAAUGGAGUUCUGGAAAUUGGAGUAGGUCCGUUGUAUCAUUUUUGAUGUGUGUGCAAAAUUUCAGGUCAUUCGAAUGAGGUUUGAUAGGUUUUUGGAUCGGUUGUAGAAUUUGGAAGUUUUAGAAUCCUUAAGCUUGAAUCCGAGGGUGAUUUGGUGUUUUGAUGUUGUUUUGAGUAUUCCGAAGGUUGGAAUAAGUUUGAAUAGUGAUAUGUGACUUGUUCGUAUUUUUGGAUGAGGUGCCGGGGGCCUCGGGAUGAUUACGGAUGGUUAUCGGAAUGUUUGGAAAUUUGAGAAGGCAGUUGAAGCUGCUGAUUCUGUCAUAACCGCACCUGUGGAGUGGGGACCGCAGGUGCGAGACCGCAGAAGCGAAAGAAAGACCGCAGGUGCGGCCAAGGCUGAGAAGUGCAAGAACCGCAGGUGCAAAAGGUGGAGCGUACCUGCGAGACCGCAGAAGCGGUUCUGGGAGAUUUAAGUGGAAGUUGCUGAUGCGGUGGUCUGGACCGCAGAAGCGGUCCGCAGAUACGAGCAAAUUGGCCGCAGGUGCGAGAUGCCUGGGCAGAAAGUAUAUAAGGUGGACUUCGCGAAAUUUGGAUUAUCUUCCACCAUUUCUAUUCGGACUUGGAGCUUUUUGGAGGGUUUUGAAGAGGUAAUCAAGGGGGUUUUCAUUGAGGUAAGUUUAUUGAACCUAAAACUCGAUUCUAUGAUGAUUUUCAGUUGUUUAAGCAUGAAAUUUGUGGAAUUUAAGGGUUAAAAUUGAAGAUUAGGGCUUGAGUUUUGGAGAGCUUUGAGUGGUGAUUUGAGGAGCCAUUUUAGGUCCAAUUUUGAUGUUCUUGGUAUGUAUAGACUCGUGGAGGAUAAGGAUUCUAGUGAUGUAAUUUUUAUCAAAUUUCGAGAUGUGGGUCCGGGGUCGGAUUUGGUCAAUUUCGGGAUUUUUGAGUUAAUUUGAUAAUUUUCGUAUGGGUUUCAUUCCUUUAGCGUAUAUUGAUGAUAAUAUAGUGAUUUUGGUUAGAUUCGGGGCAUUUGGAGGCCAAAUCGAGAGGCAAGUCGUCGCAGGCUAGAGUUUGGCUUGAUUUGAGGUAAGUAGCGCUUCCAAACUUGGUUAUGAGGGUUCGAAACCCCAAACUAUGUGUUCUAUGAUUACUACUUAGGUGACACAAAUACCAAGUGACGGACGUGUGGGCGUGUACCGUGAGAAUCGCGGCCUAGAUCAUUCCAUGACAUCGCUUAGUGACUCUUUCUUGCUGAUAUAUGUGCUCUAAUUAUGUGAUUAAGUUAAUAAGCUAUAAAUCAUUUAAUUAUCAUAUUAAGGCUUCACGCCAAUACUGUUGAGACCCGAGAGGUCGUUUCUUGCUGUCAUAUCAUUAGCUUCAUUGAUAUUCUGUACUAAGUCCUGUUCAUGCAUAUUAUAUCAUGCCUCAGUCUCGAUUAUUGUUAUUUGACACAUCAUAUCAUUAUUCAGGCUAGUAUCAUGAUAUUUUGAUCCCGUGUGUGAGACUGGAGAGUGAUGACUGAGUGAGGCCGAGUGCUUGAUAUUGAGUGAUAGUAUGAGAUCGGGCUGCACGCCAUAGCAAGAUAUUGAUUAUGCCUUCGUUGGCUUGUUAUAGUGCUUGGGCUGAAAGGAGCCCCUCUGGAGUCUUUACACCCCUAGUGAGCGCAGUUGAUGAUAUUGAGGGAUGGAUCUUCCCUGGACAUGGAUCUUUUCCGAAGUAUUUAUACCUGGAGAUGGAUCUUCUCCAUAGGGCUGGAAUGGCCUUCCUCGGUACUAGAUAACUGCGGUCAGUGAUGUAUAUAUACUUCGGGAUGGAUCUUCCCUGGGCCGGAUGACCAUAUACAGUACCGAGUGGUUGAGCACUUGUGAGUGGAGGUAUACGGAAUAUUGAUCAUGAUAUCUGUGCAUUGGUACAUUGAGAUUUUCCUGAGUUUCAUACUCCAUACUGUUCAGACUGCAUUUAUUUACUGUUGAGUUUUUACUUGAACUGCAAGCAUGUCUACUUUUUUUCUGUACAGUAAUUGUAUUACUUGUUGAGGUUUGGUUCGUCACUACCUAUCAGUCCAUAGUUUGGACUUGUUACUUAUUGAGUUGGUGUACUCACGUUACCCUCUGCACCUUGUGUGCAGAUCCAGGCAUCUCAGGGCACGGUAGCAGCUGUUGACUAUUCCGGUCGCGGGCUUCAUGGAGAUAGCGAGGUAGCUGCUUGGCGAUUCACAGUUCCGCUUUUCUCCUUCUCGAUCUUCCUAUUAGUACUUUGUUGCUAUUUUCAGACUAUUUGGUCUUGUCUUAUUUCAGAACUAUUGUAGCAUGGCUCAUGACUUAAUGACACCCGAGGUCGGGCUUGUAUUUUUUUUCC